rnacentral:tRNA from 3 species
GCGCCCGUAGUUCAAUGGAUAGAAUAAGAGUCUCCGAAGCUCUCGAUACAGGUUCGAUUCCUGUCGGGCGCGCCA